CCAAUAGCGUAUAUUAAAGUUGUUGCAGUUAAAAAGCUCGUAGUUGAAUUUCGGGAUCAAUCUAUCGGUCGUGCAAUAGUACGUACUGAUUUUAUUGAUUCCUCCCUUCUGAUGAACUAUGAUGUCAUUAAUUUGGUGUCAUAGGGAAUCAGGACUGUUACUUUGAAAAAAUUAGAGUGUUUAAAGCAGGCUCACGCUUGAAUACAUUAGCAUGGAAUAACGGAAUAGGACGUUUGAUUCUAUUUUGUUGGUUUCUAGGAUCGACGUAAUGAUUAAUAGGGAUAGUUGGGGGCAUUAGUAUUCAAUUGUCAGAGGUGAAAUUCUUGGAUUUAUUGAAGACUAACUACUGCGAAAGCAUUUGCCAAGGAUGUUUUCAUUAAUCAAGAACGAAAGUUAGGGGAUCGAAGACGAUCAGAUACCGUCGUAGUCUUAACCAUAAACUAUGCCGACUAGGGAUCGGAUGAUGUUAAUUUUUUAAUGACUCAUUCGGCGCCUUAC
rnacentral:rRNA from 1 species